GGAGCAAGCAAGCCUCUUGCCCAUGAUUGUUUUAGGACUAAGGAUAGAACCUCUCAGGGUCGAGGCAAAUGUUCUCAUCAUACAUUCCCAUUUAGUCGUUCAAACCAUUUCAAUGAUAAACCUACCUCCAAUUCUGUGUACCGGCUGACGACACAUUUACCUGUUGUUAUUCCAAAUUCUUUAGGGGCUGAUGGCAGUAGUAUGAAACAACCUGAGUGCAUUGUGGCUUCAGAUUCGAAGACACAGUUACCUGAUGUUAGUCCAAACUCUCUGGAAGCUGGUGUCAGUUGUAUGAAACAACCUGAGUGCAUUGUGGCUUCAGAUUCGAAGACACAGUUACCUGAUGUUAGUCCAAACUCUCUGGAGGCUGGUGUCAGUUGUAUGAAACAACCUGAGUGCAUUGUGGUUUCAGAUUCGGUCAGUGGAGAUGUCAUUCACUCAUUUUCUGGUCAUUCUGAUUCUAAGAACAUGCAUCUGGAUGAGAUUGGAAUUCAGAUUGGAGAAACUCCAGAAAAGAAAGAAGAAGAUGAUGCAACUUCAAAACUUAAUUUCUCUGGCAAGUUAAAAGUUGGACACAUGCAGGAGUCAGUGCCACCUGCCAUAGCUGAUACUAAAGACCAGGUUUCC
rnacentral:lncRNA from 1 species